ACUCAAAUGAAUUGACGGGGGCCCGCACAAGCGGAGGAGCAUGUGGUUUAAUUCGAUGAUACGCGAGGAACCUUACCUGGGCUUGAAAGUUAGUGAAUGACGCAGAAACGUGUCAGCUCGAAAGAGCACGAAACUAGGUGCUGCAUGGCUGUCGUCAGCUCGUGCCGUGAGGUGUUGGGUUAAGUCCCGUAACGAGCGCAACCCCUAUCAUUAGUUGCCAUCAGGUAAAGCUGGGAACUCUAAUGAGACUGCCUGCGCAAGCAGUGAGGAAGGUGGGGAUGACGUCAAGUCAUCACGGCCCUUACGUCCAGGGCUACACACGUGCUACAAUGGUUGGAACAAUGGGCAGCAACAUGGUAACAUGAAGCUAAUCCUUAAAUCCAAUCUCAGUUCGGAUUGAGGUCUGCAACUCGACCUCAUGAAGCUGGAUUCGCUAGUAAUCGGAAAUCAGCAACGUUCCGGUGAAUACGUUCCCGGGCCUUGCACACACCGCCCGU
rnacentral:rRNA from 1 species